rnacentral:rRNA from 1 species
AUUGAACGCUGGCGGCAGGCCUAACACAUGCAAGUCGACGUAAGCGGCGGACGGGUGAGUAACACGUGAGUAACCUGCCCUUGACUUUGGGAUAACUUCAGGAAACUGGGGCUAAUACCGGAUAGGUGGGGAGGGACUCGCGGCUUAUCAGCUUGUUGGUGGGGUAGUGGCUUACCAAGGCUUUGACGGGUAGCCGGCCUGAGAGGGUGACCGGCCACAUUGGGACUGAGUUACGGCACAGACUCCUACGGGAGGCAGCAGUGGGGAAUAUUGCACAAUGGGCGGAAGCCUGAUGCAGCAACGCCGCGUGCGGGAUGACGGCCUUCGGGUUGUAAACCGCUUUCGCCUGUGACGCGGUAAUGGGUAAAGAAGCACCGGCUAACUACGUGCCAGCCGCCGCGGUAAUAC